UCUGAUACUAUGAGGACUUUCAUUU
rnacentral:piRNA from 1 species